UACAGAGGUCCCAAGCGUUGUUCGGAUUCAUUGGGCGUAAAGGGUGCGUAGGCGGGUCUUUAAGUCAGGGGUGAAAUCCUGGAGCUCAACUCCAGAACUGCCUUUGAUACUGAAGAUCUUGAGUCCGGGAGAGGUGAGUGGAACUGCGAGUGUAGAGGUGAAAUUCGUAGAUAUUCGCAAGAACACCAGUGGCGAAGGCGGCUCACUGGCCCGGUACUGACGCUGAGGCACGAAAGCGUGGGGAGCAAACAGG
rnacentral:rRNA from 1 species